rnacentral:rRNA from 1 species
AGUGAACGCUGGCGGUAGGCCUAACACAUGCAAGUCGAACGGCAGCACAGUAAGAGCUUGCUCUUACGGGUGGCGAGUGGCGGACGGGUGAGGAAUACAUCGGAAUCUACUUUUUCGUGGGGGAUAACGUAGGGAAACUUACGCUAAUACCGCAUACGACCUACGGGUGAAAACAGGGGAUCUUCGGACCUUGCGCGAUUGACUGAGCCGACGUCGGAUUAGCUAGUUGGCGGGGUAAAGGCCCACCAAGGCGACGAUCCGUAGCUGGUCUGAGAGGAUGAUCAGCCACACUGGAACUGAGACACGGUCCAGACUCCUACGGGAGGCAGCAGUGGGGAAUAUUGGACAAUGGGCGCAAGCCGGAUCCAGCCAUACCGCGUGGGUGAAGAAGGCCUUCGAGUGGUAAAGCCCUUUUGUUGGGAAAGAAAAGCAGCAGGUUAAUACCCCGCUGUUCUGACGGUACCCAAAGAAUAAGCACCGGCUAACUUCGUG